CAUUAGUGUAUCCUUUUGUCAGUACCUCAAAUACUGUAUUAUUCCCAAUUGUUCUUCUGAGACAGGGCGAUUCAUGCUAAUUAGGUAGAGCAGCUGUUGUUUCUGGGAACAAGCUGUAUAGGUGGAUUUGAAGAGCACUUUUAACAAAGAAAUUGCAACUCUUCUGCUAGCUCCCAAGGUUCCAGCUCUAUUGAGAAAACUGCAGAUCUCCAUAUCCAUAACCAUUUGCAUUGUGACCUCAAGUGACAUCAUUACUUAAAGUGCACAAAGCUAUUUUCUUCCCUUGGGAGUUCCCAUUUCCUUUCCGAUUGUGUCUGUACUGUGUGCUGGGGGAAUGAGUAAUGCGGAAGCAGAAGCACGGCGCAAUAUAGCACUGCUAUUGAUUGUCUUCAUGAUGAUAAAAGUGCAGUCUACCACUUGGAGGCCUCCUGGGGAUGAGAGGAAUUUAUUUAAACAUAAUUUCAUGUGUUAUUACUCCUUCCAGUUGUAACAAAUUGUGCAUACAAUUUAUUGUAGCAUCCUUCUUGCAAAGUAUCUCAAGACUCUUUGUGAGGAGGGGGAGAAUAUAAAGCUCGAUAGAUUUUGGGACAGUGGGCCUCAUGCAGGCAGCAUGGGGAUAUGACGGUAAAAAGAGGCCACUUCCAAACGUAAUGGUGAUGCAAGAACUCUUGCAGGUUAGUUGGAGUUGAGAGACUGGAAGGAAGCAGUAAAGGGAAGCAAAGAGGAGGUGAGUGGAAUUUAGUGUCGGUCAUAGACUCAAGUGAACAGGAAAGUUGUGAAGUGAGAUUGGAAGAGAAGAGUGACUCCCUGGAGUUCUGCAAGGUCCAGAGGAAGUCUGGGUUGGAGGAACAGGGCAGGCAGGUGAGAGUGAGGGGCAGCUCGAUGAGAAGAGGGAGGUGCAAAUUAAUGUUAUAAUCCAGGAGUGAAGCCACUGAAGUGGAUUAAAAGAUUGGUAAGAAGCUAGUGAAGAGGAGGGUGCUGAUAUUCCUAAUUAUUUAUAUAAUACUCAAAAAUGUGCUAGGCACAGGAGAAGACAGACUCAGAAACUCCUCUUUUUGACACAAGUACUCUUAGAAAUUAAUCAGAGAAGCCAAAUAUGUAUUUUUACUUAAUGAAAUUAAAUGAAGGGUCCAUGGUGAAAACAGAGGACUGGAAGGAGGUGUCCUAAGUGCAAAGUAUCAUUAAAAUCGCAGUCAAGGAGGAAACUUACCACAUCUAUGGAGAACGAAACACUGCAGGCAGCACUGCAGAAGCAGCGAGCAGGGAUGCCAGUUAUACCCAGAGUGCAGAAGUGCCUGAGAACUACAGUCUCUCCUUUUAGCCAGCAUCUACCUCUGCUAAGCUGUCUCCAGGCCACUUUGCAGUCCUGUCCUGCCCUUCUGUGCGCUACUCCCCCUCCAAUCUUGGGAUCAGAAAACGUUAUCACUGAUUUAAGAAGAAAUGAAGCAGCCACGCAGGGGGCAAAAAAGAAGCAGAGGGAGUUAGCUCGAAAGGGGUCCCUGAAGAACGGCAACAUGGGAAGCCCAGUUAAUCAGCAGCCCAAGAAGAACAAUGUGAUGGCUCGAACAAGGCUGGUUGUUCCCAAUAAAGGCUAUUCAUCAUUAGAUCAGAGCCCAGAUGAAAAGCCCCUGGUGGCACUGGAUACGGACAGCGAUGAUGACUUUGACAUGUCCAGAUAUUCCUCUUCGGGAUAUUCUUCAGCUGAGCAGAUCAACCAAGACUUGAACAUCCAGCUGCUAAAGGAUGGCUAUCGGUUAGAUGAGAUCCCAGACGAUGAGGACCUCGACCUAAUCCCCCCUAAAUCAGUCAACCCCACCUGCAUGUGCUGCCAAGCCACCUCCUCCACCGCCUGCCACAUCCAGUAAUGAGGACGGCAGGCUGUGAUCAGUGCUUUCCACUAUAACUGUAAAACUUAACAGCCAUUGCUUCCUCCUAUGGUGCUUUGGGAUCCUUUGACGAAAGGUGCUAGAGCUGACGGGUGAAGAAAAUGAAAAAACUACAUUUAAAACAGUCAGAUGUCUAUUAAAAAUCCAAAUCCACAAAGAGCAGCGGUGCAGCUCCCCCUCCCUUGAUGUAGCGGCGUCUGAUGGUGCAACGUGCCAGAAGGCCUCAGGGUGGAGUGUCUGAGCGCCCAGCCGCGCUGUCCAUCGUCAGCAGGAUGAAGGCGCUGAAGAGGGCAGGUGGAUGUACAGGCGUGGGAGAGAGCAAGUUGGAUUAAUGGUGGAAACGAGCAGCACGGCAGCGGCUCUGAUGUGUGAGGGAGUUUCUGUGGGACGCUUCCUGUGCUGUGUUUUCUGUGCACGUAACAAUUUAAGGUAUAAAUUAAAACUUUCCUCCCUCUCUUGGCUUUCAGGCUCUCUCUCUCUCUCUGGGCCCUCCCUUCACCUUCCAUUCUUCCUCCAAGCCCGCACUGAAUAUGGCUGCUGCUACGCAGAAUUCAGUUUGCCUUGUCAUCUGAGCAUUGCUUGACUCAGCACGCAUGGGCCAUCGCUGUAGGCCCGGCAUUUGAAUCAAAGUUAACUCGUCCUUGCUCCACCCCUGACUUCCCUUCAGAGCUGACAGCAGGAUUCAGGAGUGCUCUUUUCUUUCUCCUGGUCUUGGCCCCUGUAGACAUAGAACAGUGUAUGUAGAUGCCCAGGCAGGGCCUUGGGGAGGACGGUAUGGGUUAAAUUGUUUAGAGUGUUGUGACAUAGGAGCCUGGUGGAGGGUAGUAACUGUAAAGGUCCGCUGGGGCGCGGGGGUGCUGUGGUACGUUACAAGCUCUCACAGUGCUGAGUCCACAACUCCUAUCAAAGUCAGUCGGUUGCUGGUGCUCAGGAUCGGUCCCUUUCUGCCUGUGUGCCCCUCGUGGGAGGGUGUAAUAGCACUGGGAGAUAGCGACCGUGCUGCUCAGCUUUGCUGAAAGCACGGCCUCUUUCUCACUUUCACUCUGCGGUUCCCUGUGUCUGAGGGUUUGCUUCAGACUUUGACCUGCAUCGCACCAGACAAGCCGGCCUCUGUUACCAGAACCGUGAAUGUGAGCAUGGCAGGGACAGCGUUCCGACCCAGACAAAUCCAGACCCAGAAAGACCGGUGACUUAGCCUGAAAGUGCUGUGAACUGGAGCAGUCUACAACAAA